rnacentral:rRNA from 1 species
GAUGAACGCUAGCGACAGGCCUAACACAUGCAAGUCGAGGGGCAGCACAUGCGUAGCAAUACAAUGGUGGCGACCGGCGCACGGGUGAGUAACACGUAUGCAACCUACCUGUAAGAGGGGAAUAACCCGGAGAAAUUCGGACUAACACCGCAUAAUACCUCGAAGCUGCAUGGCUUUGAGGUUAAAUAUUUAUAGCUUACAGAUGGGAAUGCGUAACAUUAGAUAGUUGGUGAGGUAACGGCUCACCAAGUCAACGAUGUUUAGGGGUUCUGGGAGGAAGGUCCCCCACACGGGUACGGAGACACGGACCAGAGUCCUACGGGAGGCAGCAGUGAGGAAUAUUUGUCAAUGGGCUGGAGCCUGAACCAGCCAAGUCUCGUGAAGGAAGAAGGUUCUAUGGAUUGUAAACUUCUUUUGUAAGGGAAUAAAAAAGCUUACGUGUAGGCUAUUGUAUGUACUUUACGAAUAAGGAUCGGCUAACUCCGUGCCAGCCGCCGCAGUAACAC